UACGAAGGGGGCUAGCGUUGCUCGGAAUCACUGGGCGUAAAGGGUGCGUAGGCGGGUCUUUAAGUCAGGGGUGAAAUCCUGGAGCUCAACUCCAGAACUGCCUUGAUACUGAAGAUCUUGAGUUCGGGAGAGGUGAGUGGAACUGCGAGUGUAGAGGUGAAAUUCGUAGAUAUUCGCAAGAACACCAGUGGCGAAGGCGGCUCACUGGCCCGGUACUGACGCUGAGGCACGAAAGCGUGGGGAGCAAACAGG
rnacentral:rRNA from 1 species